ACAGUUGUAGACUAGAAAGUGCAUUUUCUGAAGAAACUGCAGUGUGAAUGCUUGAAUCUGAAUGUAUGCACUGAAAUGAAUUAAUUGCUGAAUUUUGAGUUAAAAAUAUUGAAUGAGAUUUAAAAAAAAACAAAAAAAAAAAACGAAUUUAACCUUAAAACAAAGGUGCUGAACUGCUAAAAGCUGAAGGUUACACAGAAGAAGGAGUUGGAAAAAAACUGAAAAUGUUUUAAAUGUAAAUUAGAAAACCCUAAGAAAUGAGAAAAGAACAUUUAGAGUCAGAAAACCCUAAGAAAUGAGAAAAGAACAUUUAGAGUCAGAAAACAUCUGAAUGAAUAUUAAAAGGUCAUAUUCUUUGAAUCACUGAAUGACUCAAAUGUGAUCCCUCCACUUUGAUCCACACAGUUUAAAAAGUUUAAAUGCCUGAGCUUUGAAAGAUACGGUGUUGGAAAGAGAACAAUAAUGGCGACAAUUUGAGGGUAAAAUGAUGGCUGUAACACUGUGGACACAGCAGCAGUUGAAAGAGAAGUGCUUAAGAUGAAUCUUGGCAGAGUGAGAGAGAGAGCUCGUUAAGCAGGCAGGUGUGAGCCUGGUUGCUAUAGUGACCGCACCCAAUGGCUCCAUACACACGUACACAGACAUGCGCCUCACUUUUGCUGCUUAAAAUGAACAGAAAAGUCAGGCCGAAACAAAUCGUUCCCAAAUGAAAAGUAAAAGUCGUAUUGACAAAAUUCUUUCACCGUGAGCGACAGCAGCUUCUAGUCUACCUAAUUCUCAGUUUUCAUGUCUGUGGAGUUUAUUAUAUGGACGUGGUGACAGUGGAAAGACCCAAUGCUCUUCUGAUUUUCAAACGAACCUUCUGAGCC
ensembl:lncRNA